rnacentral:pre_miRNA from 1 species
AAUAAUGGUUUGACUCUUCGUUUUAUUUAAUUUUUUUUUGUGAUUUAUAAUUUUAUCCUUACUGAUGAUAAAACAUGAAUAAUACUUUAUGCGUGACUAAUUUUUUAAAGUUUUUAUAAUUUCUUUUAAAUAAGACGAAUGGUCAAACGUCGGACACGAAAAAAC